GGAGUUGGGUAAAAGAUGAAACAAAUGAUGUGAGACAGUGGAGGAAGCUUGAGUAAGAGGUGAAGUUGAGGUUUGUUCUCCCUCGUGAAGAUGAAUGCGCGCGAAGCACAAAAGCUGUGCCAAAAUGGGUGGAUGAAAGAAGCAUUGAAACUAUGAGUAAGUUGCGUCACGUCACAAAGCAAGUGGACCCAAGGGGAACUAUUUGCAGGAAUCGAACAUACCUCGAGUGGUAGAGCAACUAUUCUUCCUUUGGGAUGUAGAGCUCAAUGAUUCUUCCUUUUGGGAUGAGAAAAAAUAAUUAUUUUUGUCUUGAAUUUCUAAAACAGCAAAUAAUUUUAGACAACUAUUUUUAGAAAUCACGGCAGAUGAUUUGAGAUGGAGGGAGUAUAAGCUUAAUGAAGUUAUCAUGACAUUUGUAAAUAACUACCAGAAACAGUGGUGUUGGGAAAUUAUUGCAUUGAAUUAUAGGAUGUUCUGUUGGUUAA